rnacentral:lncRNA from 1 species
UUUGAUAAUGGCAAACCAAUAUCGGGAUAUGCAUAUUAAUGACAGUUCAAGACAAGUAUUCCUCCUCAAUUUAUGAGUUCCCCCUGCAAAUGUUUAUUAGUGUGCAUAGCCCAUAUUCUUCCCCCUUUUGACAUUAACAAAAAGCAAUAAAAUUUUUAUUAGAAAAUAGUGGAAUACAUAAUAAGACUUAAAAACAGAAAAUUAAUCAACUACAAGCAAGAAAAAAUUAUUCAUUGUCAUCCUCAU